GACGAACGCUGGCGGCGUGCCUAAUACAUGCAAGUAGAACGCUGAAGGAGGAGCUUGCUUCUCUGGAUGAGUUGCGAACGGGUGAGUAACGCGUAGGUAACCUGCCUGGUAGCGGGGGAUAACUAUUGGAAACGAUAGCUAAUACCGCAUAAUAGUAGAUGUUGCAUGACAUUUGCUUAAAAGGUGCAAUUGCAUCCCUACCAGAUGGACCUGCGUUGUAUUAGCUAGUUGGUGGGGUAACGGCUCACCAAGGCGACGAUACAUAGCCGACCUGAGAGGGGGAUCGGCCACACUGGGACUGAGACACGGCCCAGACUCCUACGGGAGGCAGCAGUAGGGAAUCUUCGGCAAUGGACGGAAGUCUGACCGAGCAACGCCGCGUGAGUGAAGAAGGUUUUCGGAUCGUAAAGCUCUGUUGUAAGAGAAGAACGAGUGUGAGAGUGGAAAGUUCACACUGUGACGGUAUCUUACCAGAAAGGGACGGCUAACUACGUG
rnacentral:rRNA from 1 species